AAGCAUGUGCUCGGGUGUGUGCCUAAAAGCAACUGUCUUUUCCAAACUGCAGUGCCUUCGCUGCCCUUUGAGUUAAAUCAAAAAUUAUAUUGCAUGUGUCACUGGGAUGUGCACUAGCUUUUCUUGAGGAUUGAAAAACAUCUGCUUUGUGUUGCUUUAUAAACGGGAAUGAGCUGGUGGGGGUUAAUGACACGAAACUUUGCUCUGUUUUUAAGCUGUGCCUCUUCAGGAGAUGCUUGCCAACCCUGAAAAGAGUUAAGCUAGCAAGUGUAACUGUGGGAGAGCCACAUGAAGCUGACGAUGCGAACAUGAGAAAGGGAAAGCUUGGAAAUGAAGCAAAGAAACCAAGAUGAGGAGGGAGCGCAGAGAUAUGGGUGCUGAGCCUGGGAGUGACUUUCUCUUGGUUUGUCCGGCCCUGGUACUGCUGGCAUCGGCUCUCUGGGGAAAGCUGCAGUUCUGCUGUUAAAACACAAGGAGCAGCCUGGAGAAUUUUGAGCUGCGUCACACAGCUCAGAGGGGGAGAGAGAGAGAGAGAGGGAAAGCAAGCUCUGUCGAUAGGUCUACUAGCAACAGCCCUGCUGCAGCAAGAGAGAGAGAGCUCAUGAAAGAGAAGUGAUAACAACAUUGGGAAGCAUGCUUCCUUUACCCAUACAGCAUAUUUUUUUUUUUUAAAGAACCGCUAUUUUGAAGCUUGUUUGGUACCAGCAGAUUUUGUCCACUGAUGAUACCGGAAAGAUGCAACGCAGUUAAUCCCGCAAGGGGGGGCAUACAUAGGAAGGGUUAAUGGGAGGAAAAUUCUGGAAUGUUCUAUCCUGCGGCGGCGCAAACAGAGGGUUGAGGACUGCACAGGUGUAGAUGAACAGAAUUCGUGGUUCCUCUUUUUCCUUACGUGCACCACUUCUCUCUCUCUCUUUCCCUCCCCCUCGCCCCCGGUGUGAGCCCUUGCUCUGCAGAGCUGUCUCCUCCAGAGGCAGUCUUGCAUCCUGCAGUGCUAGUUCCGCAGAGGAGGGCAACAGGAGGCACAACUGCGAUGGCCGCUCCUGGGAAGGGACCGACUCGGUGCUGAGAUCAUGCUUGUUCCUGGCAGGACUUGGAGACUAUAAUGCAGCUGGAAUUCUUACCUCAUGAACAAUCUUAUAUCAGAUGCACAACAGACCACAAAGUUUGGAGAGAAUGAUGCCUAAUAGCAGGAAUUCUGUCUCGUCUGGUAGAUGAUGCUUGCCAUUCCUUCGUCCCAUCAAAACCUGAUGUGGUUGGCUAUACCUUGCUGUUACAGCUCGAGUGGAAAGGUGUCACGUAUCUUUGCUGAAUAAAUCUAAGGACAAGAAAUGUUUCAGAUUCCAUUAGUUUUGCUCCUCAAGUUUCAAGUAGCUGAAAUACCGAUGCUUGUACUGAUACAAGGAUGGCUACCUUCAUUGUUAGUGCCCUACAAAAAUUGACGUAUGAGCCUACGGUCAAUUAAUAAGAGACCAUCAAGAAACUGAUACAUCAAGAAGAAUGAUGGAAUCAACAGAAAUUUAACACUGGUAAUAAUGCCAAAACCUCUUUUUCAAAUCGCCAUAUUACAGCUGGUUCAGAAGGGUCCCUUCAUAAUUCUGCAUUGAUGGAAUGAAGUUAGCAACUUAAGUGAUUUAUCUGAUACUCUCCUAAAACCUAAAGUACUCCAUGUGAAUAAGCUGUAACCUGACAUUCAAAGGGGAAAUCUAAAUAUGUCUGUGUGCACAAAAGAUAUGGAAGAAUGGCUAUGCCUGACUUGUAUGCAAAAAGCACAAAAGAUGAGCUACAUGCAGUGGCUGUGGCACCAGUCCAGGCAGCUCAGCUAGCCAAAACUUUAUUGCACCAUGUCACUGCCUCUUCUAACAAGCCAGGCAGAACCACCCCUGGCUACCCACUGAAUCCUUCUACUCAGCCACAGGAAAGCAUACCAAGUUGAUUGCAUGAGAAAUAAAUCACAUGUCAUCUCUCCAUUUGAUAGUCAGCACCUUCAAUGUGUUGCUGGUCCUCAAACCUGACAUAGCUAUCUAUAAGCAAAAUGCAUUUAGCCAACCAAACUACUCCAUGCCAAGGCUAGGUGAACUCAGACAGACUAGCAAAGGGAAGGCAAUAUCGCCACCAUUUUCUAAUGGUGUACUUUCCUGAGAAAUACUGUUUGAUGUGCUUACCCUCAAACCAGCUUCAGUCCAAAAGAAGUUAUGCCACGUUUGCUUUGUAGUUAAGGUGAGGUGUGUAUAUUGGAGACAACCAAUGGGGCAGUUGCAGGAGUGGCAAAGCAAAUAGGUAACACAACUUGAAAUGCAGUGAGGAAAUGACCUUGCUGUGUUUUAAGCUGCUAAUGUGUAAGUAGCCCAAGUAUCCUGCAGCCAAGCAUAGUGAAUGUUUGAUGAUGAAGCCUGCCUCAUCUCAAAUCCAGAACUAGCUACAUCUAAUUUUAAUGCAUCCAUCAUGGUAAAACCAGCUGUCUGUACUACAGAAGCUGGAUCCAAUGGGGUGAUGCAGAUGCUGGACAAAAUAAGCCCAUACCUG